UGUUAAAAAUUUUAUCCAUUUGUAUUGUUAAAAACUAACGAGGCUGACAGAAUAACCAGAUAGUGAUACAUGACGUGCCACAUGUAUCUCAUGCUGACAUACAGGGGCCAAUUUUUAACAGAAUGACCAGUUUGCUUUUUUAUCU
rfam:Gossypium raimondii Chr01_contig_231, whole genome shotgun sequence.